GAUGAACGCUGACAGAAUGCUUAACACAUGCAAGUCUACUUGAACUUCGGUUUGGGUGGCGGACGGGUGAGUAACGCGUAAAGAACUUGCCUCACAGAUAGGGACAACAUUUGGAAACGAAUGCUAAUACCUGAUAUUAUGAUUUUAGGGCAUCCUAGAAUUAUGAAAGCUAUAUGCACUGUGAGAGAGCUUUGCGUCCCAUUAGCUAGUUGGAGAGGUAACGGCUCACCAAGGCGAUGAUGGGUAGCCGGCCUGAGAGGGUGAUCGGCCACAAGGGGACUGAGACACGGCCCUUACUCCUACGGGAGGCAGCAGUGGGGAAUAUUGGACAAUGGACCAAGAGUCUGAUCCAGCAAUUCUGUGUGCACGAUGAAGUUUUUCGGAAUGUAAAGUGCUCUCAGUUGGGAAGAAAAAAAUGACGGUACCAACAGAAGAAGUGACGGCUAAAUACGUG
rnacentral:rRNA from 1 species